rnacentral:rRNA from 1 species
AUUGAACGCUGGCGGCAUGCCUUACACAUGCAAGUCGAACGGCAGCGCGGACUUCGGUCUGGCGGCGAGUGGCGAACGGGGGAGUAAUACAUCGGAACGUACCCUGUUGGGGGGGAUAACUAGUCGAAAGAUUAGCUAAUACCGCAUACGACCUGAGGGUGAAAGUGGGGGACCGCAAGGCCUCACGCAGCAGGAGCGGCCGAUGUCUGGUUAGCUAGUUGGUGGGGUAAAGGCCCACCAAGGCGACGAUCAGUAGCUGGUCUGAGAGGACGAUCAGCCACACUGGGACUGGGACACGGCCAAGACUCCUACGGGAGGCAGCAGUGGGGAAUUUUGGACAAUGGGGGCAACCCUGAUCCAGCAAUGCCGCGUGUGUGAAGAAGGCCUUCGGGUUGUAAAGCACUUUUGUCCGGAAAGAAAUCGCGCUGGUUAAUACCUGGCGUGGAUGACGGUACCGGAAGAAUAAGCACCGGCUAACUACGUGCCAGCCGCCGCCGUAACAC